GACGAACGCUGGCGGCGUGCCUAAUACAUGCAAGUCGAACGGUCUUUUCUAUGGAAGCUUGCUUCCACUGAGAAGAUAGUGGCGAACGGGUGAGUAACACGUGGGUAACCUGCCCAUAAGAGGGGGAUAACAUCCGGAAACGGGUGCUAAUACCGCAUAGUUUUCUUGAUCGCAUGAUCGAGAAAGGAAAGACGGCCUUUGUGCUGUCGCUUAUGGAUGGACCCGCGGCGUAUUAGUUAGUUGGUGAGGUAACGGCUCACCAAGACGAUGAUACGUAGCCGACCUGAGAGGGUGAUCGGCCACAUUGGGACUGAGACACGGCCCAAACUCCUACGGGAGGCAGCAGUAGGGAAUCUUCCGCAAUGGACGAAAGUCUGACGGAGCAACGCCGCGUGAGUGAAGAAGGUUUUCGGAUCGUAAAACUCUGUUGUCAGAGAAGAACAAGUCGGAGAGUAACUGCUCCGGCCUUGACGGUAUCUGACCAGAAAGCCACGGCUAACUACGUGCCAGCCGCCGCAGUAAGAC
rnacentral:rRNA from 1 species